GCCAAGUGUAAUUAAUUUAAUGGUUUUGCUUGUUUGUUUUUAUAAUUGAUAUUUGUUUUGAUUUUAAUAUUGGUUCUAUAUUUGCUUUGUUGAUGAAGGUUACUGUUCUGAUGUUUAUACAUAUAAUGCUGUUUUGUGCUUUGUUCUCAGCCUUUCUACUGCUAAGACUCCUACUCUGAAACAUACUGACUAUUGCACACUCAGAUGUAAAUUACACCGAUAGCUUGUUGUUCCUUAUGGUCUGUCUGUUAUGAACGUCUAUAGCUGUGCUCUGUCUGUUUGUGAGGCUGUUCAGCUCAUUAAUGUUCUUAUCCCCUCCGCCACCAGGUGGUGCUAGAUAGCUUUGGUCCUCAAUGCUUCAAACCCUCCACCGCUACAGUGUCGGAAUAUUAUUCGACUUUCUGUAGUCUACAUGGAGCAUCGCUAACAGUGUGAAACUAAACCCUGCAUUGUUUUAAAGUGAGAUAUUAUACUUGCGGUGUGUUUUAAAGUAAGCUUUAUUGUAUAGAAACCCUUGUAUUGACCUCCAUCACUGCCAUUUUCCACAGAACUCUAACCCGCCUACUACCUUGACAGGAAGACAUAUACAGGGUUAGGACGAGGGAUUCUGAUAUCAACAAUCUUAUUGCAUUAUUAUUUAACAAGGGAUGAACUUCUGUGUUUGGUGUGUCUGGGAGUGAAUGGUAGCACCACAGAAAUAGUGCCAUCAUAGUGAAAAUUAAACACAGUCAUAAUAGAUUUCAGCUAACUACUACAUGAAAAAAUAGCAUAACUGCUUUACUGUGAUUCUAUUAAGUUGGGUUUAAAAAAUAAAUAAAAUAAUGGUCUACAUUCUUACAACUCAUUAUCCUGACCUCUUGUCUCCUUUUUCAAUGCUAAUUAUAUGUGGAAUCUCAAGUUGUCUUACCUUCUAUUAUUGACCCUCACAAUGCCAUUGUUGUUGUGGCGGUUGAAUACCGAGACAGGCCAAAGUCUUAAAUCUGUGAUGAGCAUGAGUGAAACUGAGCAUUCCGGAAGAAAGUGUCACAUCCAACAUGGCAACUUUGCUGUCAUGAAACAUUGCUUUGAAUUGGAAGGUCCGUUGUGCUCAUGGAAUGAUAUGACUGUAGUGCUGUACCACUAUGGCUUUUAAAUAAAGUAGCUGAACC
ensembl:lncRNA